rnacentral:rRNA from 1 species
CGAACGCUGGCGGCGUGCUUAACACAUGCAAGUCGACCGGAAAGGCCCUGCUUUUGUGGGGUGCUCGAGUGGCGAACGGGUGAGUAACACGAGAGUAACCUGCCCUUGACUUUGGGAUAACUUCAGGAAACUGGGGCUAAUACCGGAUAGGAGCUCCUGCUGCAUGGUGGGGGUUGGAAAGUUUCGGCGGUUGGGGAUGGACUCGCGGCUUAUCAGCUUGUUGGUGGGGUAGUGGCUUACCAAGGCUUUGACGGGUAGCCGGCCUGAGAGGGUGACCGGCCACAUUGGGACUGAGAUACGGCCCAGACUCCUACGGGAGGCAGCAGUGGGGAAUAUUGCACAAUGGGCGGAAGCCUGAUGCAGCAACGCCGCGUGCGGGAUGACGGCCUUCGGGUUGUAAACCGCUUUCGCCUGUGACGAAGCGUGAGUGACGGUAAUGGGUAAAGAAGCACCGGCUAACUACGUG